AUUGAACGCUGGCGGCAUGCUUUACACAUGCAAGUCGAACGGCAGCACGAAAGAGCUUGCUCUUUUGGUGGCGAGUGGCGAACGGGUGAGUAAUGCAUCGGAACGUACCGAGUAAUGGGGGAUAACUGUCCGAAAGGAUAGCUAAUACCGCAUACGCUUUGAGAAGGAAAGUGGGGGCUCUUCGGACCUCACGUUAUUCGAGCGGCCGAUGUCUGAUUAGCUAGUUGGUGGGGUAAAGGCCUACCAAGGCGACGAUCAGUAGCGGGUCUGAGAGGAUGAUCCGCCACACUGGGACUGAGACACGGCCCAGACUCCUACGGGAGGCAGCAGUGGGGAAUUUUGGACAAUGGGCGCAAGCCUGAUCCAGCCAUGCCGCGUGUCUGAAGAAGGCCUUCGGGUUGUAAAGGACUUUUGUUAGGGAGGAAAAGGAUAGUGUUAAUACCAUUAUCUGCUGACGGUACCUAAAGAAUAAGCACCGGCUAACUACGUG
rnacentral:rRNA from 1 species